rnacentral:rRNA from 1 species
CCUACGGGAGGCAGCAGUGAGGAAUAUUGGUCAAUGGCCGAGAGGCUGAACCAGCCAAGUAGCGUGAAGGAUGACUGCCCUAUGGGUUGUAAACUUCUUUUAUAUGGGAAGAAAAUGACGGUACCUGAUUAAGAAGCCCCGGCUAACUACGUGCCAGCAGCCGCGGUAAUACGGAGGAUGCGAGCGUUAUCCGGAUUUAUUGGGUUUAAAGGGUGCGUAGGCGGAAUAUCAAGUCAGCGGUAAAAAUUCGGGGCUCAACCCCGUCGUGCCGUUGAAACUGAUGUUCUUGAGUGGGCGAGAAGUAUGCGGAAUGCGUGGUGUAGCGGUGAAAUGCAGAGAUAUCACGCAGAACUCCGAUUGCGAAGGCAGCAUACCGGCGCCCAACUGACGCUAAAGCACGAAAGCGUGGGUAUCGAACAGGAUUAGAUACCCGGGUAGUC